GUCCCACAGGCAGCACAUACUCUAAUAUGGGGACAACACAGAAGAGAUUGGCCUGGCCCCGACGCAAGGAAGAAAUGCAAAUUUGUGAAGCGUUCCAGAUUUUA
ensembl:snRNA U6 U6 spliceosomal RNA